rnacentral:misc_RNA from 1 species
GCAGCAACAGGAUCAAGAGUCCUUGUGAUAAUCUCUUCUGGAGUUACCAUAACACGUUUUAUCAGUGCAUCUUCCAAGCUCUUGGCAUCACACUUGAGCAGCUCUGCUGUCAUAUUAAGAUGAAAUCUAGAUUUGUCAUCCUUGAUAACAGAAGAGUCUAUCUCCACUCCCUUUGCAAAUUCAAUGUUUCCAAGAUGCAGAAUUGCAGCUACAACCCUAAAAAUAGCUUCCUGUGAUUCUUCACCGAUGCCAACUACAUCCAUUGCCCUUCUAGUUGCAAGAUAUUCCUCAGCAUCAUUUACUCCAUCCAGCUGAUAGCAGUUGGAUUGGUUCAAGUAAUGGAAAGACUUAGGGUAUUCCAACUUGUACUUCUCUCUUUCCUCAGGUGGAGCUGCACAAAGAAGGUAGAAACAAUGAUAGUUUCUUUCAGGAUCAGAAAUUUGGCAAACCCGAGACCUCUCAAGCAAAUAAGUUCGUAUAGCUGCCCCGGAAAUCCUCCCAUUCUUGUCAAAUUGGAUCUCAACAAAUUUACCAAAGCGACUUGAGUUGUUGUUCCUAACAGUUUUGGCAUUGCCAAAUGCUUCAAGAACUGGAUUGGAUUCUAGAACUUGCUGUUCAACAGUUCGCCCUUCCACCCCAGCCCGACCACCCAAGUGUGCAAGAUAUCGCAUGAGCAUCUUUGUUGUCUCAGUCUUACCAGCACCACUUUCUCCACUAACUAG